AUUUAUGGUUUGGUUAAAAGGAACCCAAAAAUGGAGCAAAUAAAUAAAGUCACCAAAUAAAUAAGUUUUUCAUCACUCAUCACUCUAAAAUAAAAUAAACUUGCAACAAUCAGGAAAACCCUUUCAACAAAGUGACCCGUUUUGUUGUUGAAGGGGGAAUUCCUAGUGGUGAAAUCCGCUUUUCAACAAAUUGGCGCCGCUGUCGGGG
rnacentral:lncRNA from 1 species